rnacentral:rRNA from 1 species
UACGAAGGGGGCUAGCGUUGCUCGGAAUCACUGGGCGUAAAGCGCACGUAGGCGGAUUGCUACGUCAGGGGUGAAAUCCUGGAGCUCAACUCCAGAACUGCCUUUGAUACUGGCGAUCUUGAGUCCGGGAGAGGUGAGUGGAACUGCGAGUGUAGAGGUGAAAUUCGUAGAUAUUCGCAAGAACACCAGUGGCGAAGGCGGCUCACUGGCCCGGUACUGACGCUGAGGCGCGAAAGCGUGGGGAGCAAACAGG